UGCACCUGCCUAUCAGCUUCAUUUUUAUAAUGUCUAUCAUAGUCUUUAAUAAAUUUUUCAAAUAACGCAGGAGCAUCUUUUAAAUAGUAGUAUGGUUUGUCUAAUGCAUAGGUUAAUGCAUAGGUCACAGUUACUGCAAGUGAAAGGAAACAUAUUAUUAAAAUUUUCAUGUCUUAAAGUUGUAUAUAGCUUAAUGUG